rnacentral:rRNA from 1 species
GACGAACGCUGGCGGCGUGCUUAACACAUGCAAGUCGAACGGAAAGGCCCUGCUUUUGUGGGGUGCUCGAGUGGCGAACGGGUGAGUAACACGUGAGUAACCUGCCCUUGACUUUGGGAUAACUUCAGGAAACUGGGGCUAAUACCGGAUAGGAGCUCCUGCUGCAUGGUGGGGGGUGGAAAGUUUCGGCGGUUGGGGAUGGACUCGCGGCUUAUCAGCUUGUUGGUGGGGUAGUGGCUUACCAAGGCUUUGACGGGUAGCCGGCCUGAGAGGGUGACCGGCCACAUUGGGACUGAGAUACGGCCCAGACUCAUACGGGAGGCAGCAGUGGGGAAUAGUGCAAAAUGGGCGGAAGCCUGAUGCAGCAACGCCGCGUGCGGGAUGACGGCCUUCGGGUUGUAAACCGCUUUCGCCUGUGACGAAGCGUGAGUGACGGUAAUGGGUAAAGAAGCACCGGCUAACUACGUG